AGCAUCGGGACUGUCAUUUUAAUCCCCCUCCAAACUGAUUGGUAAACUGACCCCGAGAGAACUGAAGUCAGUAGCCCACAGUCACACCAGCAGUGAGUGGCAGGAAUCUGGAUAUAGCGAAGUUAAGCGCAGGCGAUUUCAUCGUAGGAAUUACACUCAUUCCCAUUGCUAGGGGGACGAUGAUUGUUUCUAAGGGCCGACCUCAUCCUUCGUGGACAUCAGUGCCUCGGUGUACCUGGAUGUGACCCUUACUCCCUGUCUCUGAUCCUCAGUUCUCCGGUGAACUCCACCCCCACCCUGACUUCGAACAUUCAGUUGCCACGUGACUCAUUAGGACUCAUCUGUAUUCCAACCAAGGGUAUGGGUCUGAACCAGGAGGAGCAGACGGAAUGUUUCCAACCAGCUCUGCGGACGUUGAGCCCAGAGCAACCGAGAGGCUCUGGAAUGUUCUGACCUUAGACAGAAAUACUGUG
rnacentral:lncRNA from 1 species